AAUCUGAAUCUAAAACAAGAAGCUUCACUACUUGUUUAGUCAAAGCAGUGGUCCUCAUUUCCAGAUUUUGGCAAGUAACUGCUGAAUGAUCUGGGGUUUUUUAUUUAUUUAUUAUUUGCCCUCUUUAUUCACUGUUGGUGCAUUAGAGGAUUUUAGUGAGACGAUCUAAGAACCUUUUGGCCCUUUUAGAUGGGCCUGCUGUUUGGAGUGGGGCCCACUUAUCUUGAGGAGGGAGACAGGUGAAGAAUGGGGGUGAUGCACAGCUUUCAUAGGAAAACACACAGCUAUCCAUCUCCAUCUGGCUGUGUGUGCUCUGUCUGUGCUCCUCUACUGUUUCACGGAGAUUACUGCAGAGAACAGAUCCCUGCCAGGAGACCUGCACUGUGUCACCAUCUCAAAGUACCUCUCCAAGAGAAUGACAAGGAGUGGAAUUUGGUUUUGGGUCCAAUAUUUUUUUUUUAAAAGAUCCAUCUGGUGUGGAGGGGGAAAGAGAGGUGAAGUGCCCUUUGACCUUCUGAAGGAAGGGGAGCAGCUCCAUAUCUCAUGCUCCUCAGCCAAGUCUGUUUGAUCUGGACUCACCUCAGUUCACAAGUCUCAGCUUCUGGCCCCAUCCCACAAAGGGAGGAAUGUGUAGAACUGGUGGAGAAGAAUUGCUUUGUUGGGCCCAAACAAUACUGAAAUUUAUGGUUUAUGGCAGCCGUGUGAAGAUAUACUAGACUUGAAAACAUACCUGAGAUGGGUGAGGUCACCAGCAAAUACUGUGAUAUGUGACAGGUAAGUCAUAUCUGAAUCAGACCACCUGAACAGCCUCCGAACAUGAAGGAGGAACAUCUGAGGGCACGCUCUUGCCACUGUAAUUCACACUGCCUUCGGGUGCAGGGGUAUCUGUGAAGUUCAGCUUUGUGAUGGAUGAGAUGGUGUUUUUGCCCCUUGGCUUCGGAGGGAUUAGUCUGCUCAGGUGUUGUUUUUAAAAGACUUAGAAUUAGCUUACAUUUAAACAUUUAAACUUUUGACACCACUUUCACCACCUGUUUCUGGAGAGAGAGAAAAGUCUGGGAUUGAACCUAGAGUUCACGUGUAAUGUUUCAUGCCAACAAAAGAAUUAAUGCGUCAAUCAUAAGUUACACCUGAAUUGUACAUUUGUAACUGUCGUACCUGUGUGUCUCUUUGGUAGGGCUUUGGUUCUUUGAUUAUUAAUGUCCGUAUAUUUAUUCUGCUUUUGCAGUGUUUCUGAGUGAACCUGUGCUAGUCAUUUGAUUCAUCAUUACAUACUGAGGCCUCGGUUGCAGCCCCAGGAGGAAAAACACUUUAUGUUUGAUGAAAAGAGGUGUUUGAGAAGCAGACCACAAUAUCUGCAUGAAGCCCACCUGCAUGACAAAAGGGACCACCAAGAUUAAAUACAAGGUUUCCAUGGAAACCAGCUGAAGUCUGACUACACUGACUUUAAAUGCCUGCAUAGACAUCACAGCCUGAGUCAUUGGACUAGCACUGUAUAGGCCUUCCCUCUUUAAGCAUUAUGUAGCUGUCGGGACAGGAAUUUUGCUUCACACAGAUUGUUCAUCGAUCCUUGUAGAUGCUAGGAUGGCCAAAAGUAUGUCAGGCUCCCUAACCAAAACCAUAAACUUAGGUUGCAAAACACUUGAGAAAAUAACAUUGCCCCAAAUUACGUGUACAUAUUAUGCAUACCAAAUGGUUUCACAUCAGUUUGCAUUAAGGCACAGUUGAUUGUUCAGUUUGGAUAGGAUCAUGACUGUCAAACUGUAUGGCAGUCUUUAAGAAGUAAGCAGAUAAUUAUACUUAAAGUGUCUGUGGAAUACCAUAUUUUAACAAAUGUAUCUCCAAUGCUACCAGGUCCUAGUAGUGACACAUAUGAGUUAUUGUGAUGCACAAUCACUAUGGAAAGGCAAAUUUUGUUUAUCCAGGGGUGGGUGCUGCCACAAAAGUGGCAACUGACCUCCAAAAAUGUAUAUGUGUAGAAUGCAAAAUGUUGCUUCUAUGAGAUGGUUACAGUUACAUUUUUACAUUCUUUUUUUUCAGUGCUUUUCAAAAUUUUGAUAACGAAAAAAUUCUGAGCCUUUCCCUGCCAGCUGCCUAUCAUGCAAACUCUCUUUUGGUAUAGCUAGUUAGAUGUGGAUCACUUCUCUGUGUCAAAUCUCAACUCAGUCUUUAACCUGGAUAAAGAAUGCCGAUCACGUGUUUGGUUUCGUCAGAGGACGUCAGUCAAUGCUAUUUGUUCAGGCUCCAUUUGGCACAAUGCCUUUAGAGCCAAAACAAUAUUGAGCUUUGUUUUGUAAAAUGCCAUAAAGGGGCUUUUCUGUACACUCUUUUUGUGUGUGAUUGAAAAGUCUAAAUAACAUAUUAUGCAAACAUCAUUUAAUAAACGAAAUGGAAAAUAAGAGCAUUUAAAAAUAACCGAAAAGCCCUCAGACCUCGAAUAAAGUUAUAAUAUAACGGCAUUAGUGGGUUAUAGUAUCAAUCAUACAGUUAGCCUGACUUAACAGAGGGACUCGGACAUUCUGCGUCUCUAACAAAUGCCUCAGUGCGGUGUGAGCUCCUGGCCGCUAGGCCUCAUUUCCAUUUCAACACAUACGCAAGGAUUGCAACGUGGCGUCAGAUGUUUGGAAAUUAUCCUAGCUAGGUCUCUCCAAAGCUAGAUUUCACUGAAAACUCCUCUCGAGGUACCACUUGAGUCGUCUUUAAUAAAUGUAGUUUUGUAUUAGUAUCCUCACAAUUGAAUUUCCUAAAACAGCUUGCACUUCAUAGCAUUAACAGAAAUGGCUCGAGUCACCAUAAUUAUAAAACACGAUAAACCAGCCAAGGUUAAGAACUAAUGAUGGUGAAACUAUUUAUUUUAUUUUGUAAUUAUUUGUAGUGACAAUAUAUCAGUGGCAAAGUACUUAAAAUAUAUCAUUUAAAAUAUACUUAAAUAUAAAUAUGUCUGUUAAACUUAGCUACAUGUAUAAAGCCGGUGUUGACAGCAUUUUUAUUGUGCACAAGGUGAAAAGCUUUUGCCAAGAUCCUGACUUAAAGUUAAAAAUUAAAAUUGAGUUGUUUUAAGGUUGUUACAACGACCAAUCGAAUUAG